AUGAGGAGCCACUUGGGUUCUCCCAAUGUCUCACUGAGGCCUAGUGUGAGGGGAGGGAAAGGGCAGUCUCUACCUGUGGCUUGCAGGUGCCUGACUGAACACAGGAACUGUGAGGUCCUAGAAGACUGUUCUGCUUCAGGGCUUGCAGCCUGCUGUGGCACUCCCAGAAAAUGGACAGAAGUAGUUGGUUCUUCAAGUCCCAUGGAAGACAUCAUUGGCAGUAAACUGUGCUGUUGUAUGGGCUUAAGAUGCUACAUGUGCUCAGUGAUAUCUGUGCAGAGCUCAGCCAUAGGAGAAAUGAAGAGGUCUCCCCUUCAGGGGCGGGCAGUGCAGGAGAAGGGAGCAGAACAGCGAGCACUGCAGGACAAGAGCAUUGCCUUACCUGCAGGUGGACCAGCAGAUGGAAGGUGAGUGCAGACUGCAGACUCUGCCAUCUGUCAGCCAAGCUGCUGUUGAGUGUCAGUAGGGGAAAGAGUGGUUUUAAGGAGUACAUCUAUAUCUAGUGUCACUUGCUUUACCACUGGGAGAAGGUUUGCUUGUCAGCUGCUGUGA
rnacentral:lncRNA from 1 species